rnacentral:rRNA from 1 species
UACGUAGGGACCAAGCGUUGUCCGGAAUCAUUGGGCGUAAAGAGCGUGUAGGCGGCUUGUUAAGUCUUGCGUGAAAUCUCGGGGCUCAACCCCGAGCGGUCGUGAGAAACUGGCAGGCUAGAGUGCGGGAGAGGAGAGUGGAAUUCCUGGUGUAGCGGUGAAAUGCGCAGAUAUCAGGAAGAACACCCGUGGCGAAGGCGGCUCUCUGGACCACAACUGACGCUGAGGCGCGAAAGCUAGGGGAGCAAACAGG